rnacentral:rRNA from 1 species
CACGUAGGGGACGAGCGUUGUCCGGAUUCAUUGGGCGUAAAGCGCGCGUAGGCGGCUCGGAAAGUCGGUCGUGAAAUGCCGGGGCUCAACCCCGGGACUGCGUCCGAUACUCCCGAGCUGGAGGCAGGUAGGGGAGAUCGGAAUUCCUGGUGUAGCGGUGAAAUGCGCAGAUAUCAGGAGGAACACCAAUGGCGAAGGCAGCUCGCUGGAACGGUACUGACGCUGAGGCGCGAAAGCGUGGGGAGCGAACAGG